rnacentral:lncRNA from 1 species
AGGUGUCAAGUUCUUUACUCCCAUCCUUUUGAUUGUUAUCUGCCCCUUUUAUAUCUUUUAGUGACUCCCCAUCAUCAAUGCCAAAAAGGUCACAUUGUUAUCUGCCCCUUUUACAUCUUUUAGUGACUCCCCAUCAUCAAUGCCAAAAAGGUCAGUAAGCCAUCUGGACCAACUCCCGAUCUGUGAUCCACAUGAAAAAAAUCAUAUACCGUAUCUCCAUCAAAAGAUAAAAAAUGGAGUAUUAUUUUUUCAGGAAUGUUACCAAUGACAUCUAAGCAACGUGCAUUAGAACGUAUUUG